CUUUAGAAAUUUGGAGAAAAUGUAUUUGCCAGUUUAUAGAAUGAAAUAGCAAUGUUUGUUUUACUCAAACACACACCUAUCUAUGCUGCUUGGAAAUUAUUUCUAAUGUGUUGCCUUUUUUGUCCUAGACUGGAAGUGACUGAAAGAAAACGGAGACUCAUUCUUUCAGCAAGGUGACCAAAAUCUGUUUCGCUCUGCAGCACUUGUCCCGGAGGCUUUGUAGACAGAGUGACUGAACGAAAACCUAAAUGAGAAAUAGGAACAACAUGUUUAGAAGAUGAAGUGUGGAAGCCUCGGCAGCUUCAGUAUGCUGUGUACCUCAUCUUGAACUCUUUCACAUGGUGAUUCCUACACAUAAUUGCACACUGUAUGUGUUUAGCUAUCCUAUCUUAC